UAUUUUUUUUUAUUUAUUUUUUUUUUUUUUAAUUUUUUUUUUCAACGUUUUUUAUUUAUUUUUGGGACAGAGAGAGACAGAGCAUGAACGGGGGAGGGGCAGAGAGAGAGGGAGACACAGAAUCGGAAACAGGCUCCAGGCUCCGAGCCAUCAGCCCAGAGCCUGACGCGGGGCUCGAACUCACAGACCGCGAGAUCGUGACCUGGCUGAAGUCGGACGCCCAACCGACUGCGCCACCCAGGCGCCCCAUUUACUUACUUUAUUUAGAAAGCGCAAGUGGGGGAGGGCAGAGAGAGAGAGAGAGAGAGCAAGCGAGCAAGCGAGAGAGUAUGUUAAGCAGGCUCCCCACUCAGCGCCGAGCCCCGUCUGGGGCUCCAUCCCACGACCCUGGCAUCGUGACCUGAGCCCAAAUCGAGAGUCGGCUCAACCGACUGAGCCACGCAGGCAGGCGCCCCUAUUGAAAUCAGACUUAAGAAACGUGUUGAAUAUCAGAACAGCUAUAUUCAAAUACAUUCACAACUGUAUGAGUUCCUGUUGCCACCUGACACGUUACCUCAAAAUCUCAAGGCCUAAAACAACAGAGUUGUUUACACCUCACAGUUUCUGUGAGCUGGGAACCCACUCAUGGCUUUGGAAGACCUCUCUUUCGGGGCCCCUCCCAAGCUGCACUCAGGAUUGCAGCGGGGGCUGCGGCCGUCUCCGAGUUCAGCGGGGGACCGGUCUGCUUUUAAGCUCACUCGCGAGAUUGAUGUCGGGAUUAAGUUCCUAACAGGCUGUUGUUCGGAGGGCCCGAGUUCCUGAUGGAUGGAUGGCCCCUGGCCUCUCUUGGGUUUUGCCACGUGGGGCCUCUCCGCAGGGCAGGUCGCGGCGUAGCAGCUAGCUUCCUCAAAGUGAGCAAGCAGGAGAGCAAGCAGGAGGGGUCGUCAGUGCUUGCAAGGUAAUUUUGAGGCCGACACGCCAUUCCUCUUACCAUGUGUUGUUCCUCAGGAGCAAGUCACUAGGUCCGGCCCACGGUCAAGGGGAGGGGAUCACACAGGGGCAUGAGUACCGGCAGGCAGAGGUCCCAGUCUGAGGCUGAUGAGCACCCAAGGGAGGGGUGGGGAUGGGUAUGUUGCGGAGGAAAGUGAGAAAGGCUGGGUUCUGUGUCAGACCCGAGACUCUGAAGAGCUUUGCUGAGUUUGCUUCCCUCUUCGCCCACGUUGCUUGGUGUGGAAUUUUAACUUUCUUCCCAUUUGGAGAGCACUCUUGCAACUUGGUUCCGUCUCUUUCCCUCCCAGAAUCGGUGUGCUAGCGCCUCCUUCUCCCACCCCUUUUUUCAUGAUCUCUUACACACUUCCCCUUUCAGGCCAAGCUGUUUGCAUUGAUAAUGGGUCAUCGACCUCCUCGCUACUACUUUGCCAGAGCACGUGGACUUCUAGGACUUCUCGCGCUGUUCCUAGUCUCUGUGGAGGGUUUGCAUUUACCCGAUUGCUAAUGGAGACAUGGUUGCCUCUCGGUACCUGACAAGGGUCUUGGGGUUUUGGGUGUGUAUUCGUUCCUUUGAGACUUGUUGCAUCUGUUACUACUUCGAGUUAAAAGCUCCACUUUCUAGCACCUUUCUACAUGUCUGUUGUGUUGUUUCCUUUUGAGAGAAUUUGGCCUGGAACCAGCCUUGCUUACAUGUUCACCUGCUUUUGCUGGCUUUGUAUGUUAUGUUAUGACAGCCUGGCAAGCUAUAGUGAAAGGUGACAGGAUUCCAGAAGUCAUUUUUGAAGCCUUGAGUUCAAGGGCUGCUGCUUUGUGGGCAGUUUGACGAAUUACCGACGGACUGUAUUUGCAUACGGAGGCUGAUAUUCAAAGAAGCUUUUCCUUGAGUUCUCAGUAAAGAUUUCCAUAUUUGUGUGGAGAGUGAUGAGCGCCAUUUUGACUCUUUAAAAGACAAAUUAUGUUUCUUUUUGAGAGAGGGAGAGAGAGAGAGAGAGAGAGCGCGCGCGUGCGCACGAGGGGGGAGGGGCAGAGAGCGAGGGAGACACAGAAUCCAAAACAGGCUCCAGGCUCUGAGCUGUCAGCAC